rnacentral:rRNA from 1 species
UACGAAGGGGGCUAGCGUUGCUCGGAAUUACUGGGCGUAAAGGGCGCGUAGGCGGCACUGUUAGUCAGGCGUGAAAGUCCUGGGCUCAACCUGGGAACUGCGCUUGAUACGGCAGAGCUAGAGGAUGGAAGAGGUCGCGGAAUUCCCAGUGUAGAGGUGAAAUUCGUAGAUAUUGGGAAGAACACCGGUGGCGAAGGCGGCGACCUGGUCCAUUACUGACGCUGAGGCGCGACAGCGUGGGGAGCAAACAGG